GACGAACGCUGGCGGCGUGCUUAACACAUGCAAGUCGAACGGAAAGGCCCUGCUUGCAGGGUACUCGAGUGGCGAACGGGUGAGUAACACGUGGGUGAUCUGCCCUGCACUUCGGGAUAAGCCUGGGAAACGGGGUCUAAUACCGGAUAGGAGCCAUUUUUAGUGGGAUGGUUGGAAAGUUUUUUCGGUGUAGGAUGAGCUCGCGGCCUAUCAGCUUGUUGGUGGGGUAAUGGCCUACCAAGGCGGCGACGGGUAGCCGGCCUGAGAGGGUGGACGGCCACAUUGGGACUGAGAUACGGCCCAGACUCCUACGGGAGGCAGCAGUGGGGAAUAUUGCACAAUGGGCGCAAGCCUGAUGCAGCGACGCCGCGUGGGGGAUGACGGCCUUCGGGUUGUAAACUCCUUUCGCUAGGGACGAAGCUUUUGUGACGGUACCUAGAUAAGAAGCACCGGCUAACUACGUG
rnacentral:rRNA from 1 species